CUGGCUCAGGAUGAACGCUGGCGGCGUGCCUAACACAUGCAAGUCGAACGGAGAUUUAACGCUGAUGAGGCUUCGGCGGAUUCUUGUUAAAUCUUAGUGGCGGACGGGUGAGUAACGCGUGGGCAACCUGCCUCAUACUGGGGGAUAACAGCUGGAAACGACUGUUAAUACCGCAUAA
rnacentral:rRNA from 1 species